UGCCCGCCGCUCACCCCUCAGAACUGCCCCGCUGCCCGCUGCCUCUCCAUAGGGCGCUGCUGCAGAGUCCCCGCGGGUGCCCGAGCGAUCCCCCCUCCCCGGGCGCCGCCGCCGCCGCUCAUGCGUUGUGCCUCCACCUCCUCCUCCUCCUCCUCGCCCGGGCCGGGUCCUCGAGGAAGCGCGCACAGAAAAAAUAAACAAAAAAAACACCACCAAAACUAUGGAGAGAUGUCGACCAAAACAAAAUGGCUUGGCUUCCCAGCCUGGGAUCUUCCUCGCCUCUUGCUUCCCUCCGCUCUCGCCAAGUCCGCCGCGGCCCGGCCGGGUGGUACUUACACGCGGCCCCCCUCCAUGCGCCCCCGGCUCGGGGCGGGCGGCGCUGGCUCUGCCCUGCGCGGCGGCGGGGCCGUCAGUGCUGGGCGGGCGCUCGCAUCUCUGCCCGCCGCGCCGCGCUGCUCAGCGCCCCGGCGCUCCUCUGCGGCAUCCGCGCCGCUCGGCCGGGCGCGGCGGCGGCGGCGGGCGGCGGCGGGGCUCGGCGCGGCGCGGGGCACUGGCAGGGCUCCCCGGCCCGAUCUCCAUGUACAGCUACAUGUUUAGGGCCGCUCGGGUUAAUAUAUGUCGUCAGAAGCGGCGACCGCCAAUGGCCGGGGCGGGGGCGGAGCCCGCCGCCCUCCGCAAUAAAACUUUUUGAUGUUCGCUCUGCUAAUUGCCGAGCUCCUCUUUUAGGAUUGGCUGCCCCUCCGCAUCCCUAAUGUAAUUAAAACAAGGGGGGAAAAAUUAUCAUGGAGGCAGAGGUUAAUGCAAGUGUUUAGCAGAUGCCUUACAGUAAAAUCUGCAUUAAAAAAAAAAAAAAAGAAAAGAAAAAGAAAAAAACCCAAACAACAAAACCCCCCCUACAAACUCGUUAAAACUUAAAUAUCGGAUAAUCUCAAACCAGCUUACUGCCUGCCCUCGUGCACCUCCACCAGCCUUCACCCGAGUGACUCAAGAGCCUGAAAUCGGUCUCAUGCUUCUUGGACUGGUAUGAUCGGAAAGUUAAGAAGCCGGAAAAUGGAGAGGUGAAUGUCAUGCACCUCCCCAGACCUGGAGGGAAACGGAGCUGCGGCCAAAAGGAGUGGGUGUAAAUGCGACAACAAAAAUAAAUGCUUUAUAUCACCCUGCAGAACUUA